GACGAACGCUGGCGGCGUGCUUAACACAUGCAAGUCGAACGGAAAGGCCCUGCUUUUGUGGGGUGCUCGAGUGGCGAACGGGUGAGUAACACGUGAGUAACCUGCCCUUGACUUUGGGAUAACUUCAGGAAACUGGGGCUAAUACCGGAUAGGAACUCCUGCUGCAUGGUGGGGGUUGGAAAGUUUCGGCGGUUGGGGAUGGACUCGCGGCUUAUCAGCUUGUUGGUGGGGUAGUGGCUUACCAAGGCUUUGACGGGUAGCCGGCCUGAGAGGGUGACCGGCGACAUUGGGACUGAGAUACGGCCCAGACUCCUACGGGGGGCAGCAGUGGGGAAUAUUGCACAAUGGGCGGAAGCCUGAUGCAGCAACGCCGCGUGCGGGAGGACGGCCUUCGGGUUGUAAACCGCUUUCGCCUGUGACGAAGCGUGAGUGACGGUAAUGGGUAAAGAAGCACCGGCUAACUACGUG
rnacentral:rRNA from 1 species